rnacentral:rRNA from 1 species
CCUCGGGAGGGCUGCAGUGGGGAAUAUUGGACAAUGGGCGAAAGCCUGAUCCAGCCAUGCCGCGUGUGUGAAGAAGGCCUUCGGGUUGUAAAGCACUUUCAGUGGGGAAGAAAGCCUUGGGGCUAAUACCCUCGAGGAAGGACAUCACCCACAGAAGAAGCACCGGCUAACUCCGUGCCAGCAGCCGCGGUAAUACGGAGGGUGCGAGCGUUAAUCGGAAUUACUGGGCGUAAAGCGCGCGUAGGCGGUCUGAUAAGCCGGUUGUGAAAGCCCCGGGCUCAACCUGGGAACGGCAUCCGGAACUGUCAGGCUAGAGUGCAGGAGAGGAAGGUAGAAUUCCCGGUGUAGCGGUGAAAUGCGUAGAGAUCGGGAGGAAUACCAGUGGCGAAGGCGGCCUUCUGGACUGACACUGACGCUGAGGUGCGAAAGCGUGGGUAGCAAACAGGAUUAGAUACCCCGAGUAGU